GCUUGCUACCUGAUGUUAGCGGCGGACGGGUGAGUAACACGUGGGUAACCUGCCUGUAAGACUGGGAUAACUCCGGGAAACCGGGGCUAAUACCGGAUGCUUGAUUGAACCGCAUGGUUCAAUUAUAAAAGGUGGCUUUUAGCUACCCCUUACAAAUGGACCCGCGGCGCAUUAGUUAGUUGGUGAGGUAACGGCUCACCAAGGCAACAAUGCGAAGCCGACCUGAAAGGGUGAUCGCCCACCCUGGGACUGAAACCCGGCCCAAACUCCUACGGGAGC
rnacentral:rRNA from 1 species